rnacentral:tRNA from 2 species
AGGGUGUUAGUUAAAAGUAUAACAAUUAUAUUGCACAUAAUAAUUAUUUUAUUAAAAUAUACCUUU